rnacentral:lncRNA from 1 species
AAAAAUGCAUCGAUUACAAAAUCGUUCAACAUCUCUUCGCAUCUUGGGCCAAAAGAAGUGUUCGUUGAGUGUGGCUAAAGUCUUGGCAACUCUGAAGUGCCCCAUUAAUCCACCACUAUGCGCUUCUUCGAUCAACACUUCUCGAACAGACCCUUGGGGUAUACAAAGCUUCCCUUCUCGGAAUAGGUACCCAUCAUGUCGAUAGUACUUCUCGUAGGCUCCCUUGG